UACGUAGGGUGCAGGCGUUAAUCGGAAUUACUGGGCGUAAAGCGUGCGCAGGCGGUCUCUUAAGACAGGUGUGAAAUCCCCCGGGCUUAACCUGGGAACUGCGCUUGUAACUGAGAGGCUUGAGUGUGCCAGAGGGGGGUGGAAUUCCACGUGUAGCAGUGAAAUGCGUAGAGAUGUGGAGGAAGCCAACCGAUGGCGAAGGCAGCCCCC
rnacentral:rRNA from 1 species